UGUCUUUUUCUGCCAAACCGAUACUCACAUGAGGUUUCCGAUUUCUAGCCAUUCCAUUCUCGGCCUUUGUCUCGACUACUUCUAAACUUCUUGUUUUGUCUUAAAUUAUUGUUUGUUCGGCUUCAAAUCCGUACGUGUUAACCAUGUGUUGCGGACCUUGUGGACCGUGCUGCGGCCCCUGUGGACCCUGCUGUGGCCCGUGCAGACCCUGCUGUGGCCCUUGCCGACCUUGUUGUAGCCCUUGUGGAUCCUGCUGCGGGCCUUGCCGACCUUGUGGGCCGUGCUGCGGUCCCUUUGGCACGUGCUGUGGAGGCUGUUGGUGCUAAAUGCACCUCGAAACCUAUUUGUUGCUUCCGGAUCCUACAACACCUUGCACUCGACAGCCACAAAUAAUAAGCUAAGAUAAAACAUUAGUAACAAAAAUGAAGCACAAUCUUUUUCCCCCGAUUCGUUCUGCAAUGUGCUUGGCAGCCCCAAAUUCAAUAUCAAAAUAAAAUUCGAGAUCAAAGAACGUCACUUAUUUGGGUCAAUUAUCUUUGAAUUAGUUUGUGAGAUAUGACAAUAAAAACGAGCAAGGAAGCUGGCUUCGGUUCGCCCAAGCUUCUAUAGUAUACUUUUGCAGUUAUUAAGUUAUGAUAUAGUCGUCCGAUCUUAAUGAAGUUAAUUUAUUUAUUUUAGACUUUCUUAUAAAGUGGGUUCUUUUAAAGCAAAAGUAUAGAAAGUUAUGUAUUAGUAGCAAAGGGCAAGUUAUUAACUUUCUGAUCUUUUUCAAAAUUUCGGGUUUCUAGGGUCAACACCAACGU